rnacentral:ribozyme from 1 species
CAGAUGGGAAACUCUCAGAAAGAGAAAUCAUACGAUGAUAUCGAAGCUGAGAAAUUGAAGGAAGAAAAGGCAUUUGAUAUUCGUAAAAUAUACUGGGAUGCUAAUGG